rnacentral:lncRNA from 1 species
UUUAUAUCAAAAUUACAGGUACAAGAAAUUCAAAAUGGCAAAGCUUUCAAAAUCAUUUUUCUUACUGAUAUUCCUUGUAUUUGUAGCAUCAGGUAUUGAUUUAUUUACUGUUUCGCAUUUAAAUGAAUUAUUAUUUAGUUUGAAACUAUUAAAAUGAAUUUAUUUAUUUUUGCAUGCAGAUUGCUUGGCUUACAAGAUUUGCAAAACUACAUUUCGCUAUAGUUGCACCCCCAACACCAAAUCAUGCGAGGGAACAUGCCAAGAUGUAAUAAUUGUUCCGUCACCAUACAUAAGAAGCUAUUGUAUAAUUGGGCAACACGAAACUAGUUAUUGUGUGUGCGAAUAUAAAUGUUCUCUCUCUACUCUCAAGAUGAAGAAACAAGUUAUCAGAAAUUGAGAAAAGGACAUCAAUGGUCAUCAUGUCAAUGAGUUGAGAUAUUGAAUAAAC